rnacentral:rRNA from 1 species
UACGUAGGGCGCAAGCGUUAUCCGGAAUUAUUGGGCGUAAAGAGCUCGUAGGCGGUUGUCGCGUCUGCCGUGAAAGUCCGGGGCUCAACUCCGGAUCUGCGGUGGGUACGGGCAGACUAGAGUGAUGUAGGGGAGACUGGAAUUCCUGGUGUAGCGGUGAAAUGCGCAGAGUAUCAGGAGGAACACCGGUGGCGAAGGCGGGUCUCUGGGCCGAUGACUGACGCUGAGGAGCGAAGCGUGGGGAGCGAACAGG